UACGCGAGCUGGGUUUAGAACGUCGUGAGACAGUUCGGUCCCUAUCUGCCGUGGGCGUUGGAAGAUUGAAGGGGGCUGCUCCUAGUACGAGAGGACCGGAGUGGACGAACCUCUGGUGUUCGGGUUGUGUCGCCAGACGCAUUGCCCGGUAGCUAAGUUCGGAAUCGAUAACCGCUGAAAGCAUCUAAGCGGGAAGCGAGCCCUGAGAUGAGUCUUCCCUGACAGUUUAACUGUCCUAAAGGGUUGUUCGAGACUAGAACGUUGAUAGGCAGGGUGUGUAAGCGUUGUGAGGCGUUGAGCUAACCUGUACUAAUUGCCCGUGAGGCUUAACCAU
rnacentral:rRNA from 1 species